UGCAAAUGUCAUUCUAUCCAUGUCUCUGAAAUUAGCUGACAUAUACACUCAUAUUGACCUACACUAGACUCAAGUACUGCCCAUGGUUAGCCUACAUUCGGUCUUGUUCAGUAGUCAGCAUGUGCGCGGUCUCCUCGUGAGCCUACCAAUAGCCUAUUCACUUCUAACAUUUAACUUAACUACCAAGAUAACAUAGCCUAUGUCAUAUAAUAUUUCCCCCCUUUGUAAUUUAGGAUAUGAAUUUCAAUGAACAAUUCCAAGAUGCACGAAACAUAAAGGCUUUUGGGAUCAGUUGAUAACUCAACUUACCAAGAACGUAGACACUCGUUUGAUUACUCAUGCAUUAGCACGGUUACGGUCUCUAACCUGUUGUACAGUCCUCGUGACAGCCUACCUACCAACAAACAUCUCAUUUAACAUAACUACCAAGAUAACAUGACGUGUAUUUGUAUUUUAUAUCCAUCGGUAAUGUAGCCUAUGAACCUCUAUGUAGGCUACACAAUCACCUAAGAUGCACGAGAAAUAAAUAGGUUUCUGCGAUCGGUUGAUAACUCAAACUUGCGAUAACACCCGUUUGAUUAGACUCAUACCCUCGGUUACGGUCACUUCAUGAACCUACUAUGAAGCCAGCAACAUUCACCUCUCUAACAUUUAACUUUCUAACUACAAAGAUAACAUGACGUGUAUUUGUAGGCUAUGUGAUGAACUUCCCCAUCGAUAUAUGAAUGGCCAUGAACACAAGUAUCUACGAUGCACUAAAAACAAGGCAUGGUUAAUAACUUGCCGCUAACCAAGACAACCGUUUUGAUUACAUAGACUCAUAGCCUAUACCUCGGUUACGGUCUCGUUUAGUAGGCUAAGUAGCCUGAUGCGCAGUCUCUUCGUGACAAACGAAGCCAGCAACAUUUAACUUUAUAACUAGGCUACCCAGAUAACGUGUAGCCUAUUUGAAGCUUAUGUGAUGUAGGCUACUUCCCCAUUAAUAAUGUGUAAAUGGCCAUGAACACAAUCAUCUACGAUACUAGAAUAAGGCUUGGUUAAUAACUAACUUGUUGAGAACCUAGACCGUUUGAUAACAUUAGACCCUCGAUUACGGUCUCGUUCAGCCUGGCACGGUCUUCGUGAGGCUACUAUGAAGCCAGUGUAGUGGGGUUAGAUUGCUCACGCUGACGUUUGUCACGUCAUUAUCAGCCUAAUUACUUGGCAAUCCCCCUGAUUAGCAGCUGCUGCCCUAAUACCUUUAAAAGACCUAGAAGUACCGGUGAGUGACUGCGCUGUAAUUCUUGCUCCCCUUCCGUUGAGAAUGCUCCCUGUCUAGCGUGGUAGGUGUCUUUUCUUAGUGGGUUGUGUUGGCUUUCCACACUUUAUGUUUAUGGGCUUACCUUUUGUCUUGUAGCCUCGUAACUGCUGUUUGCCUCCUCCACCACUCCUGUUGAGGGUAUUUCUAUUUCCUGCCAGCUCAGUGCGGAUCUGUGACCUCACCCUAUCUGGAGCGGGUGCGUGUAGCCUGGUUGACUGGAAUGCCGGACUUCACAGGCGCUGCUGUUUUGUCUGAUGAUCGAUUGCUGUCUAGUGUUGGUCUCGUUGUCUUGCUUGUAACUGGUGACUAUUUUGUGAGUUUUAUUUUGUUUGUUUGCUCCGUCUUUGUCCAGUCGCGUAUUGUCUGCAUCUGCUUUCGUAUACUCUGUCUUUAUUUUGGGUUUUCUUUUGGUUUUGUUGGUGAAGCUACCUAUAACAUCUACUGCUUGAAGCUGCCUAAUUAUAACAUCUAGGCUACUGCAUGUUGCCAGUGUUUCCCGUGCGCUGUCGCAUGAUUAGUAUCGCUCUCAGUUUUGUUUGCAUGUGAUUGUGUAUGCUGUCGCUUUGCAUGAUUUAAGCUUUGUCAGUGUUAGUGUUGCUGUCUUCAGUGUAUUGUGGUUGUGUCCUUUUUGGUUGAUUUAUUGCUAUCCUCUGGUGCCUUAAUUGUUUUGUCGUUUGUUUGGCAGGUCGGGGCACUCCUAAGGGGAGGCUAGGCACCUGGUGGUGGGACCCUAUCACUGCAUGUUUGCUGUGCUUUAUUGUGCUGUGCCGUGCUGUGUGUUGCUGUGCUGUGCGGUUCAGUGUACUGCUUACUGCAGCCUGCGUUAUAGAGAAACUCACUUCACUCUGAGUGUGUGUGCACGUGUGUUUGGUGUGAAUCUUGGAACACCUCAUCAGUAGCGUGCCUCCCUUGGGUAAGCUCCCUCCUAGCUGCAUUUAUUGAGUUCUGUGGACGUUUGGUCCCUCAAAUGCCUAGACUCCAAUGUAUGAUCUAUAAGAUCUGAUUUUAAGAAC